UUAAGCGACUAAGCGUACACGGUGGAUGCCCUGGCAGUCAGAGGCGAUGAAGGACGUGCUAAUCUGCGAUAAGCGUCGGUAAGGUGAUAUGAACCGUUAUAACCGGCGAUUUCCGAAUGGGGAAACCCAGUGUGUUUCGACACACUAUCAUUAACUGAAUCCAUAGGUUAAUGAGGCGAACCGGGGGAACUGAAACAUCUAAGUACCCCGAGGAAAAGAAAUCAACCGAGAUUCCCCCAGUAGCGGCGAGCGAACGGGGAGCAGCCCAGAGCCUGAAUCAGUGUGUGUGUUAGUGGAAGCGUCUGGAAAGGCGCGCGAUACAGGGUGACAGCCCCGUACACAAAAAUGCACAUGCUGUGAGCUCGAUGAGUAGGGCGGGACACGUGGUAUCCUGUCUGAAUAUGGGGGGACCAUCCUCCAAGGCUAAAUACUCCUGACUGACCGAUAGUGAACCAGUACCGUGAGGGAAAGGCGAAAAGAACCCCGGCGAGGGGAGUGAAAAAGAACCUGAAACCGUGUACGUACAAGCAGUGGGAGCACGCUUAGGCGUGUGACUGCGUACCUUUUGUAUAAUGGGUCAGCGACUUAUAUUCUGUAGCAAGGUUAACCGAAUAGGGGAGCCGAAGGGAAACCGAGUCUUAACUGGGCGUUAAGUUGCAGGGUAUAGACCCGAAACCCGGUGAUCUAGCCAUGGGCAGGUUGAAGGUUGGGUAACACUAACUGGAGGACCGAACCGACUAAUGUUGAAAAAUUAGCGGAUGACUUGUGGCUGGGGGUGAAAGGCCAAUCAAACCGGGAGAUAGCUGGUUCUCCCCGAAAGCUAUUUAGGUAGCGCCUCGUGAAUUCAUCUCCGGGGGUAGAGCACUGUUUCGGCAAGGGGGUCAUCCCGACUUACCAACCCGAUGCAAACUGCGAAUACCGGAGAAUGUUAUCACGGGAGACACACGGCGGGUGCUAACGUCCGUCGUGAAGAGGGAAACAACCCAGACCGCCAGCUAAGGUCCCAAAGUCAUGGUUAAGUGGGAAACGAUGUGGGAAGGCCCAGACAGCCAGGAUGUUGGCUUAGAAGCAGCCAUCAUUUAAAGAAAGCGUAAUAGCUCACUGGUCGAGUCGGCCUGCGCGGAAGAUGUAACGGGGCUAAACCAUGCACCGAAGCUGCGGCAGCGACGCUUAUGCGUUGUUGGGUAGGGGAGCGUUCUGUAAGCCUGCGAAGGUGUGCUGUGAGGCAUGCUGGAGGUAUCAGAAGUGCGAAUGCUGACAUAAGUAACGAUAAAGCGGGUGAAAAGCCCGCUCGCCGGAAGACCAAGGGUUCCUGUCCAACGUUAAUCGGGGCAGGGUGAGUCGACCCCUAAGGCGAGGCCGAAAGGCGUAGUCGAUGGGAAACAGGUUAAUAUUCCUGUACUUGGUGUUACUGCGAAGGGGGGACGGAGAAGGCUAUGUUGGCCGGGCGACGGUUGUCCCGGUUUAAGCGUGUAGGCUGGUUUUCCAGGCAAAUCCGGAAAAUCAAGGCUGAGGCGUGAUGACGAGGCACUACGGUGCUGAAGCAACAAAUGCCCUGCUUCCAGGAAAAGCCUCUAAGCAUCAGGUAACAUCAAAUCGUACCCCAAACCGACACAGGUGGUCAGGUAGAGAAUACCAAGGCGCUUGAGAGAACUCGGGUGAAGGAACUAGGCAAAAUGGUGCCGUAACUUCGGGAGAAGGCACGCUGAUAUGUAGGUGAAGUCCCUCGCGGAUGGAGCUGAAAUCAGUCGAAGAUACCAGCUGGCUGCAACUGUUUAUUAAAAACACAGCACUGUGCAAACACGAAAGUGGACGUAUACGGUGUGACGCCUGCCCGGUGCCGGAAGGUUAAUUGAUGGGGUUAGCCGCAAGGCGAAGCUCUUGAUCGAAGCCCCGGUAAACGGCGGCCGUAACUAUAACGGUCCUAAGGUAGCGAAAUUCCUUGUCGGGUAAGUUCCGACCUGCACGAAUGGCGUAAUGAUGGCCAGGCUGUCUCCACCCGAGACUCAGUGAAAUUGAACUCGCUGUGAAGAUGCAGUGUACCCGCGGCAAGACGGAAAGACCCCGUGAACCUUUACUAUAGCUUGACACUGAACAUUGAGCCUUGAUGUGUAGGAUAGGUGGGAGGCUUUGAAGUGUGGACGCCAGUCUGCAUGGAGCCGACCUUGAAAUACCACCCUUUAAUGUUUGAUGUUCUAACGUUGACCCGUAAUCCGGGUUGCGGACAGUGUCUGGUGGGUAGUUUGACUGGGGCGGUCUCCUCCUAAAGAGUAACGGAGGAGCACGAAGGUUGGCUAAUCCUGGUCGGACAUCAGGAGGUUAGUGCAAUGGCAUAAGCCAGCUUGACUGCGAGCGUGACGGCGCGAGCAGGUGCGAAAGCAGGUCAUAGUGAUCCGGUGGUUCUGAAUGGAAGGGCCAUCGCUCAACGGAUAAAAGGUACUCCGGGGAUAACAGGCUGAUACCGCCCAAGAGUUCAUAUCGACGGCGGUGUUUGGCACCUCGAUGUCGGCUCAUCACAUCCUGGGGCUGAAGUAGGUCCCAAGGGUAUGGCUGUUCGCCAUUUAAAGUGGUACGCGAGCUGGGUUUAGAACGUCGUGAGACAGUUCGGUCCCUAUCUGCCGUGGGCGCUGGAGAACUGAGGGGGGCUGCUCCUAGUACGAGAGGACCGGAGUGGACGCAUCACUGGUGUUCGGGUUGUCAUGCCAAUGGCACUGCCCGGUAGCUAAAUGCGGAAGAGAUAAGUGCUGAAAGCAUCUAAGCACGAAACUUGCCCCGAGAUGAGUUCUCCCUGACCCUUUAAGGGUCCUGAAGGAACGUUGAAGACGACGACGUUGAUAGGCCGGGUGUGUAAGCGCAGCGAUGCGUUGAGCUAACCGGUACUAAUGAACCGUGAGGCUUAACCU
rnacentral:rRNA from 1 species